rnacentral:misc_RNA from 1 species
GCUUUAUGGGAAGCAAGAUCAAGCAUAUUUGAGAAGCCUGCUGAUUCACUUGAUGGCACUUCACACAGUGAAUUAAUAACAAAAACUCCAUCAAAGAGCAGGACUAGUAUUCUCUAUAACUUUUCUUCUGAUUAUAUACUCAGGGAGCAGUAUAGGAACCCUUGGAAUGAGGUCAGGAUGGGGAAGUUGGUUGAAGAUCUCGAUGCUCUUGCUGGAACCA